AUUGAACGCUGGCGGCAGGCUUAACACAUGCAAGUCGAGCGGAGAUGAGGUGCUUGCACCUUAUCUUAGCGGCGGACGGGUGAGUAAUGCUUAGGAAUCUGCCUAUUAGUGGGGGACAACAUUCCGAAAGGAAUGCUAAUGCCGCAUACGUCCUACGGGAGAAAGCAGGGGAUCUUCGGACCUUGCGCUAAUAGAUGAGCCUAAGUCGGAUUAGCUAGUUGGUGGGGUAAAGGCCUACCAAGGCGACGAUCUGUAGCGGGUCUGAGAGGAUGAUCCGCCACACUGGGACUGAGACACGGCCCAGACUCCUACGGGAGGCAGCAGUGGGGAAUAUUGGACAAUGGGGGGAACCCUGAUCCAGCCAUGCCGCGUGUGUGAAGAAGGCCUUAUGGUCGUAAAGCACUUUAAGCGAGGAGGAGGCUACUGAGACUAAUACUCUUGGAUAGUGGACGUUACUCGCAGAAUGAGCACCGGCUAACUCUGUGCCAGCAGCCGCCGUAAUAC
rnacentral:rRNA from 1 species